rnacentral:sRNA from 1 species
AUUAAUUAAUAAAAAUAUAUUAUUCAUGUUGAGUUCCCGGUGUGACUGUAUUUGAUGAUACCCCUAAGAGGUAAUGUGGGUUAAAUGGGCUCAUAGGACUGACUACCUUAUAAAGGGAAAACCAGGCUGCACCUGAUUUUGGACACACACACACACACACACACACACACACACACACACCCGCCUCCAGAUCUUCAAGAGUACAGGUUUCUGUUGUGUAAGCCAUCUGAUCUGGAACAUGGUAUUUCGCUAUAGCCAUCCACACUGUUAAAGGCAGGGGAUAUUCUUACCGUUCUUGCUUGCUUGUUUCUGUGUGGUGAAUAUGAAUUACCUUAUUACUUAAGGAACAAUAAACGUGAGCUCUUUAUCCUUUUGGCUUCACCGUGCUGACAGGGUGAGACAUAAUUCUCUGAGUCUCCUUCGAGAUCAGUGUCUGGGCAGGUGAGGUAAGGUUGCAUCGACAAUCCUUCUCCACAGAGUGAAACUCUGAUGUUUCCUGUGCCCCGGAUGUCCAGAGGUAGGCUUGUAACCCUUUACCCCAAGCCUCACGGGUAACUCGUAACUUACUCUGAACCAUGUUUGUGUUUAAAUCACAUGUCUGAAUGUGUGAGUGGUGCAGGAGCACUCAGGAAGCUGAGGCAGAAGAGUCAUGAAUUGGAGAUCAACCUGAGCUACAAAGUGAGCCCUCACCUCCAACACACAAGCCAGCAACUUCUAAAAGCAAGUGAGCAUUCCCUAUAUAUUCUGCCAGCUCAGUCAGUUACUGAAUCGGAAUUGCUACUGCACUUUUUGACAAAGACCUUGGGGUACUGUGAUGAUUCGUGGGCAUCGGGUAUGUCUGUCCAUCCAGAAGACGUUUAUCUGUGCCUGAAGCGUGAGAGGCAUUGAGCCAAACCCAAGGAGAGCAGCGUUGAAUACAAUAUUCAGAUCUGCUGUCGGCGAGGACGGUCCACUGGGGAGCUAGACAAGUUCACAAGCAUUAUCCACAGCACUCCGACACUGAGAAGAGGAUUCUAUCGAGAUCCCUGUGCUCUGUUUGCUUAAUAGCAGGGUAAGGAUCUACAGGGACAAAAGCCUUCUGCCCACUUUCCUACCAGACAGAACCAGAGGAUGCCUUUGUUCUCAUCUUCCUGGAAGCAGACCAGAGGAGUCUACAUUAGCAAGCCUUCCUAAAGCAUGGUGUGCCUGUAAUCACCACACUCGGGACGCUGAAGGAGGAAUGUCCGAGUCAGGGUUUAGUCUGGGCUAUAUCAAGGAGUCUCGUCCCAAAGGGCACAGAGAGCAAUCAGCCUCACCAACCAGCUGUUGCAGGCCUCUUAUUUGCCCAUUUCUAUCCCCAGGCUGACAGCGUGAGCGGCUCAAUGUCCUUCCCCUUUGUCCUGUGAUGUCUCCAGAAUUGGGGAGUUGAAGAUGGUGUGUAAUUUGCAAUUGUAAGACAUCUCUUUAGGAACGGCUUAUUUUCCCGGUGGCUCUGAUGUCUGUGUGAACUCUGCACGUUAACGAACUUAUGGGUCCCCCCGCCACCCCACUUUGUGAAUCUGCCUCUUGUCAAAGGCGGUUCAUCAAGCUAAGGCCUAUGGGAGUUAUUCUCUGACACCUUGGGGGCACUGUGACUUUCUUCCCCUUGGCCAACAUCUGCAGCGUCAGCUUUCUUCUUUCAGAGCUCCCUACACUACUCCCCCUUCCCCUCAGCACUCUGCAACCACCUCAGUCACCCCACAUCCUUGGUGAGGAUAAACAUUUCCCUACUGGGAUUAGA